AGCAGCCGCGGUAAUUCCAGCUCCAAUAGCGUAUAUUAAAGUUGCUGCAGUUAAAAAGCUCGUAGUUGAAUUUCGGGACCAUCAUGUCGGUCGUGCCUCGGUACGUACUGGCAUUGUUGGUUUCUACCUUCUGACGAACCAUGAUGUCAUUUAUUUGGUGUCGUGGGAAAUCAGGACUGUUACUUUGAAAAAAUUAGAGUGUUUAAAGCAGGCUCACGCUUGAAUACAUUAGCAUGGAAUAAUGAAAUAGGACGUUUGAUUCUAUUUUGUUGGUUUCUAGGAUCGACGUAAUGAUUAAUAGGGAUAGUUGGGGGCAUUAGUAUUCAAUUGUCAGAGGUGAAAUUCUUGGAUUUAUUGAAGACUAACUACUGCGAAAGCAUUUGCCAAGGAUGUUUUCAUUAAUCAAGGACGAAAGUUAGGGGAUCGAAGACGAUCAGAUACCGUCGUAGUCUUAACCAUAAACUAUGCCGACUAGGGAUCGGAUGAUGUUAAUUUUUUAAUGACUCAUUCGGCGCCUUAC
rnacentral:misc_RNA from 1 species